UGUUUAAUUACUUUGAAGUAAUCAGGACAACCGCAUGCUGUAGGAUUAACAGGUUUAUAAAAAGGAUAAGCAUAAGCUUCGUGCUGCUUCUUCAACAAUUCUUUAAGAACAGAUUGGCAGAACUUCAUUUCAGCUGCAUCUUUGCGACGGUGUGGCUUCAAAUCAUACAUGGUCUCACGAAUUCCUGAUGAAGAAUUAGAAUACAUGGCGGCUUGUCGACGUGUACGCGCCCCACCUUUAGGUGCAGUCAUGCUACGUGGACGACGGCCAGGACGGGAAUAACUGGUCACAUAAGCAGAAGGUAGUUGUUUCAAUUGUCGUUCGAAAGUAGCUUGUAGAUUUUUACCCAUUACACCCACAGGUGACUCAGUACCAU